GAUGAACGCUGGCUACAGGCUUAACACAUGCAAGUCGAGGGGAAACGACGGGGAAGCUUGCUUCCCCGGGCGUCGACCGGCGCACGGGUGAGUAACGCGUAUCCAACCUGCCUCUGACUGAGGGAUAACCCGUCGAAAGUCGGCCUAAUACCUCAUGGCAUCGUCUGCGGGCACCCAACGACGAUUAAAGAUUUCAUCGGUCAGGGAUGGGGAUGCGUCUGAUUAGCUUGUUGGCGGGGUAACGGCCCACCAAGGCUACGAUCAGUAGGGGUUCUGAGAGGAAGGUCCCCCACAUUGGAACUGAGACACGGUCCAAACUCCUACGGGAGGCAGCAGUGAGGAAUAUUGGUCAAUGGGCGGGAGCCUGAACCAGCCAAGUAGCGUGCAGGAUGACGGCCCUAUGGGUUGUAAACUGCUUUUAUGCGGGGAUAAAGUGAGGGACGUGUCCUUCAUUGCAGGUACCGCAUGAAUAAGGACCGGCUAAUUCCGUG
rnacentral:rRNA from 1 species